rnacentral:rRNA from 1 species
GAUGAACGCUGGCGGCGUGCCUAAUACAUGCAAGUCGAGCGAACAGACGAGGAGCUUGCUCCUCUGACUUUAGCGGCGGACGGUUGAGUAACACGUUGAUAACCUACCUAUAAGACUGGGAUAACUUCGGGAAACCGGAGCUAAUACCGGAUAAUAUAUUGAACCGCAUGGUUCACUAGUGAAAGACUGUUUUGCUGUCACUUAUAGAUGGAUCCGCGCCGCAUUAGCUAGUUGGUAAGGUAACGGCUUACCAAGGCGACGAUGCGUAGCCGACCUGAGAGGGUGAUCGGCCACACUGGAACUGAGACACGGUCCAGACUCCUACGGGAGGCAGCAGUAGGGAAUCUUCCGCAAUGGGCGAAAGCCUGACGGAGCAACGCCGCGUGAGUGAUGAAGGUCUUCGGAUCGUAAAACUCUGUUAUUAGGGAAGAACAAAUGUGUAAGUAACUAUGCACGUCUUGACGGUACCUAAUCAGAAAGCCACGGCUAACUACGUG